GAAGAAGACAUUAAUACGAAUCAGACACGUGAGACGGUUAACGUUGAAAUAAGUCGAGAUGUGCAUCUUGGUUCAGGUCCUAUUAAAAACACUCCAUCGCCUGGUAAUUCUAUCGAACGAAAGAGGCAAAGGGAUAGAGAAAGGCGUGCAACAAUGUCGGUUGAACAAAGGAAUGAGUACAAUAACAAGCGUCGUCAAAUGCGUCAACGAAAUAAGGGACAAAAUAUGGCGACAAAAAAGUAAACGUGGAUCCAGAUGAUGAUAGCGACUGGCUGCAUCGGAACGAGACAUUCCAGUCAAACGACUAUGUCGCAACGACGGACCUUCUGCCACCAGCUUGUACCGGAAGGUUAUGUGUUUGUGCUGGGAGAUAACAGCAACAAUAUCUUCAAGUACCAAUAAUCUGAAAAGAUGGUUCCCUACUGGUUCUGCAUAUAGGAAGCUGUGACAUACCAUGUAUUUGUAUCUGAAGAACUGUUUGACAUAUAUUUGGUUCCU